UACGUAGGGUGCGAGCGUUGUCCGGAAUUAUUGGGCGUAAAGAGCUCGUAGGCGGUCUGUCACAUCUGCCGUGAAAACCCGAGGCUUAACCUCGUGGCUUGCGGUGGAUACGGGCAGACUAGAGGUAGGUAGGGGAGAACGGAAUUCCCGGUGUAGCGGUGAAAUGCGCAGAUAUCGGGAGGAACACCGGUGGCGAAGGCGGUUCUCUGGGCCUUACCUGACGCUGAGGAGCGAAAGCAUGGGGAGCGAACAGG
rnacentral:rRNA from 1 species